CUAAACUUAACAUAAAGUUCAUUGGAAAUUUUUCAAAAACAAAAAACAUGAAAUACCUAAUACUCUUAGCUUUACUCACCUUUGCCUGCUUAACCUAUGGCAAAAUUGUGCACAUACCCACCGCCCUGCCACCUCAUAAAUGUGCUUUCAGUUGUUCACAAUCGGAUAUAACACUUUGCGCCACCAAUGGCCAGUGUAAGCAGGAAUUUCAAGGAGAAUGCCUAAUGAGUGCUUACAAUUGUGAACAUCCUCAUAAACCGUUUGUUAUCAUUGAAGAUUGGAAGUGCAAACAGAGUGGUGCCUCAAAAUGUUCACAAUUCGAGAUGGAACUUUACUAAAGGAAGUCAGACAACAACAAACAAAUAACCAGCAAAGCCAACCCAACCCCCUCAUACAAGAGGCAAACAAAAAAAGAAAAGUUACUUUAUGCAAAUUUAAAUUAAUUAGACAAUCUCUGUGUAAUGUGUUUUGUGACACAAACUGUACAUGUUUAGUUUCAUCAGAGUGAUAUCUAUUUACUUGGAGUAUGUUUUUAAUAAAAGCUUAAAGCAUAAUUUAAGA